GGUUUUAAAUUUUAUUGGAAUUGGAUUUUUAAAAGUAAUUAUGGGUUUUAGUAAGAAAUUUGAAAUAAUGGAUUUAAUUAUAGAUUAUUAGUACAGUGAAGGGAUAUUGAAAAUGUUUAUAAGAAUAUUUUAUUUAUGGUACCUUUUGUAUCAGGGUUUAUUAAAAGGAUAUUUUGUAUAAAAUUAUCUCGAAUUUAGAAGAGCUAAGAAUAUAUAUAUAUUAAUGUAGAAUAAUUAUUUAUAAUAUUUUCUUCGUUAUUAGACGUUAUUCGAUUUUGAAUAUAUCUAGUUUUUAGAGAAAUUAAUUUAAUUAAGUUGAUUUAAUGAAUGGUUUUAUUAAAAAAUUGGUUCUUGAAUCAAGUAAUAUUCAAGGGGAUAAGCUUUUGAAUAAAUUUUUAUAAAGAUUUUUGAAUUAAAAAUUAAAUAGGAAUAGAAGUUUUCAUUUUUUGUAGUGUUUUAUAUCAAGAUUUUUAAUUGAGUGAUUUGGAUUUUUUUAAGUUUUUUAUCUAAAUAUUGUAUGUAAUAUUAAAUUAUAAGGAAUAAUGAUAGAAUUAGUAUAAGUAUAUGUUUAGAAAAUUUACUGUAUGGAAGUUUUAAUUAAGUAAUUCGGCAAAUUUAUUUUCUGCCUGUUUAUUAAAAACAUGGCCUUUUGGGAAUAAUUUAAGGUCUGACCUGCCCAAUGAUUACAUUAAAUGGCCGCGGUACUUUGACCGUGCAAAGGUAGCAUAAUCAUUAGUUUUUUAAUUGAAAGCUGGAAUGAACGGUUGGACAAGAAAAUUACUGUCUCAAUUAAAUGGUUCUAGAAUUUUAUUUUUUAGUAAAAAGGCUAAAAUUGUUUUAAGGGACGAGAAGACCCUAUAGAAUUUUAUAAAUUUUUUUUGGUUGGGUUUUAGGGUUUAUUGUCUUAAUUUAGGAAAAUUUAAUUAGUUGGGGUGAUGGAAAAAUUUAGUUAACUUUUUUGUGCUUAAUUCACUGAUAUGUGUUUUUAUGAUCCGUAUUUAACGAUUAAAAGAUUAAAUUACCUUAGGGAUAACAGCGUUAUUAGUUUGGAGAGUUCUUAUUGAUAAACUAGUUUGCGACCUCGAUGUUGGAUUAAAAUAAACUUUUGGUGUAGGGGCUAUAAAGUUAAGUCUGUUCGACUUUUAAAAUUUUACAUGAUCUGAGUUUAAACCGGCGUGAGCCAGGUUGGUUUCUAUCUUUAGAAAAUUUUAAUAUUUUAGUACGAAAGGACCAAAUAUUAGUUUUAAAAAUUAUAAUUGAAUAUUAUU
rnacentral:rRNA from 1 species